rnacentral:rRNA from 1 species
AUUGAACGCUGGCGGCAGGCCUAACACAUGCAAGUCGAGCGGAUGAAGGGAGCUUGCUCCUGGAUUCAGCGGCGGACGGGUGAGUAAUGCCUAGGAAUCUGCCUGGUAGUGGGGGAUAACGUCCGGAAACGGGCGCUAAUACCGCAUACGUCCUGAGGGAGAAAGUGGGGGAUCUUCGGACCUCACGCUAUCAGAUGAGCCUAGGUCGGAUUAGCUAGUUGGUGGGGUAAAGGCCUACCAAGGCGACGAUCCGUAACUGGUCUGAGAGGACGAUCAGUCACACUGGAACUGAGACACGGUCCAGACUCCUACGGGAGGCAGCAGUGGGGAAUAUUGGACAAUGGGCGAAAGCCUGAUCCAGCCAUGCCGCGUGUGUGAAGAAGGUCUUCGGAUUGUAAAGCACUUUAAGUUGGGAGGAAGGGCAGUAAGUUAAUACCUUGCUGUUUUGACGUUACCAACAGAAUAAGCACCGGCUAACUUC